GGUCAAGUGAAGAAGCGCAUACGGUGGAUGCCUUGGCAGUCAGAGGCGAUGAAAGACGUGGUAGCCUGCGAAAAGCUUCGGGGAGUCGGCAAACAGACUUUGAUCCGGAGAUGUCUGAAUGGGGGAACCCAGCCAUCAUAAGAUGGUUAUCUUGUACUGAAUACAUAGGUGCAAGAGGCGAACCAGGGGAACUGAAACAUCUAAGUACCCUGAGGAAAAGAAAUCAACCGAGAUUCCCUUAGUAGUGGCGAGCGAACGGGGACUAGCCCUUAAGUGGCUUUGAGAUUAGCGGAACGCUCUGGAAAGUGCGGCCAUAGUGGGUGAUAGCCCUGUACGCGAAAAUCUCUUAGUCAUGAAAUCGAGUAGGACGGAGCACGAGAAACUUUGUCUGAAUAUGGGGGGACCAUCCUCCAAGGCUAAAUACUACUGACUGACCGAUAGUGAACUAGUACCGUGAGGGAAAGGCGAAAAGAACCCCGGAGAGGGGAGUGAAAUAGAUCCUGAAACCGUAUGCGUACAAGCAGUGGGAGCCCACUUUGUUGGGUGACUGCGUACCUUUUGUAUAAUGGGUCAGCGACUUAUUUUCAGUGGCGAGCUUAACCGAAUAGGGGAGGCGUAGCGAAAGCGAGUCUUAAUAGGGCGUCUAGUCGCUGGGAAUAGACCCGAAACCGGGCGAUCUAUCCAUGGGCAGGUUGAAGGUUGGGUAACACUAACUGGAGGACCGAACCGACUACCGUUGAAAAGUUAGCGGAUGACCUGUGGAUCGGAGUGAAAGGCUAAUCAAGCUCGGAGAUAGCUGGUUCUCCUCGAAAGCUAUUUAGGUAGCGCCUCAUGUAUCACUGUAGGGGGUAGAGCACUGUUUCGGCUAGGGGGUCAUCCCGACUUACCAAACCGAUGCAAACUCCGAAUACCUACAAGUGCCGAGCAUGGGAGACACACGGCGGGUGCUAACGUCCGUCGUGAAAAGGGAAACAACCCAGACCGUCAGCUAAGGUCCCAAAGUUAUGGUUAAGUGGGAAACGAUGUGGGAAGGCUUAGACAGCUAGGAGGUUGGCUUAGAAGCAGCCACCCUUUAAAGAAAGCGUAAUAGCUCACUAGUCGAGUCGGCCUGCGCGGAAGAUGUAACGGGGCUCAAACCAUACACCGAAGCUACGGGUAUCACGUAAGUGAUGCGGUAGAGGAGCGUUCUGUAAGCCUGUGAAGGUGAGUUGAGAAGCUUGCUGGAGGUAUCAGAAGUGCGAAUGCUGACAUGAGUAACGACAAUGGGUGUGAAAAACACCCACGCCGAAAGACCAAGGUUUCCUGCGCAACGUUAAUCGACGCAGGGUUAGUCGGUCCCUAAGGCGAGGCUGAAAAGCGUAGUCGAUGGAAAACAGGUUAAUAUUCCUGUACUUCUGGUUAUUGCGAUGGAGGGACGGAGAAGGCUAGGCCAGCUUGGCGUUGGUUGUCCAAGUUUAAGGUGGUAGGCUGGAAUCUUAGGUAAAUCCGGGAUUCUAAGGCCGAGAGCUGAUGACGAGUUAUCUUUUAGAUAACGAAGUGGUUGAUGCCAUGCUUCCAAGAAAAGCUUCUAAGCUUCAGGUAACCAGGAACCGUACCCCAAACCGACACAGGUGGUUGGGUAGAGAAUACCAAGGCGCUUGAGAGAACUCGGGUGAA
rnacentral:rRNA from 1 species